rnacentral:rRNA from 1 species
UACGUAGGGGGCAAGCGUUGUCCGGAUUUAUUGGGCGUAAAGAGCGUGUAGGCGGCUGGGUAGGUCCGCUGUGAAAACUCGAGGCUCAACCUCGAGACGUCGGUUGAAACCGCUUGGCUAGAGUCCGGAAGAGGAGAGUGGAAUUCCCGGUGUAGCGGUGAAAUGCGCAGAUAUCGGGAAGAACACCCGUGGCGAAGGCGGCUCUCUGGGACGGUACUGACGCUGAGACG